AUUGAACGCUGGCGGCAUGCCUUACACAUGCAAGUCGAACGGUAACAGGUCUUCGGAUGCUGACGAGUGGCGAACGGGUGAGUAAUGCAUCGGAACGUGCCCAGUUGUGGGGGAUAACUGCUCGAAAGAGCAGCUAAUACCGCAUACGACCUGAGGGUGAAAGCGGGGGAUCGCAGGACCUCGCGCAAUGGGAGCGGCCGAUGUCAGAUUAGGUAGUUGGUGGGGUAAAGGCCUACCAAGCCGACGAUCUGUAGUUGGUCUGAGAGGACGACCAGCCACACUGGGACUGAGACACGGCCCAGACUCCUACGGGAGGCAGCAGUGGGGAAUUUUGGACAAUGGGCGCAAGCCUGAUCCAGCAAUGCCGCGUGCAGGAAGAAGGCCUUCGGGUUGUAAACUGCUUUUGUCAGGGAAGAAAUCCUCUGGGCUAAUACCCCGGGGGGAUGACGGUACCUGAAGAAUAAGCACCGGCUAACUACGUGCCAGCCGCCGCCGUAACAC
rnacentral:rRNA from 1 species